UAGGGAAUCUUGCGCAAUGGGCGAAAGCUUGACGGAGCAACGCCGCGUGAGUGAUGAAGGCCUUCGGAUCGUAAAACUCUUUUAUUAGGGAAGAACAUAUGUGUAAGUAACUAUGCACGUCUUGACGGUACCUAAUCAGAAAGCCACGGCUAACUACGUGCCAGCACCCGCGGCAACACGUAGGUGGCAAGCGUUAUCCUGAAUUAUUGGGCGUAAAGGGCGCGUAGGCGGUUUUUUAAGGCUGGUGUGAAAGCCCACGGCUCAACCGUGGAGGGUCAUUGGAAACUGGAAAACUUGAGGGCAGGAGAGGAACGUGGAAUUCCCGGGGUAGCGGUGAAAUGCGCAAAGAUAUGGAAGAACACCAGUGGCGAAGGCGACUUUCUGGUCUGAAACUGACGCUGAUGUGCGAAAGCGUGGGGAUCAAACAGG
rnacentral:rRNA from 1 species